rnacentral:rRNA from 1 species
UACGGAGGGUGCGAGCGUUAAUCGGAAUUACUGGGCGUAAAGCGCACGCAGGCGGUUUGUUAAGCUAGAUGUGAAAGCCCCGGGCUCAACCUGGGAUGGUCAUUUAGAACUGGCAGACUAGAGUCUUGGAGAGGGGAGUGGAAUUCCAGGUGUAGCGGUGAAAUGCGUAGAUAUCUGAAGGAACAUCAGUGGCGAAGGCGACUCCCUGGCCAAAGACUGACGCUCAUGUGCGAAAGUGUGGGUAGCGAACAGG